AUAUUGCCACACUAGCUGAUUUGUUUGUUGAAUUUAGCGAGGGUGGGGAUAUUUAUGAACUGCUAUAAAUGAAAUGAAACAAAAGGCUAAAAAAUAUUUUUUCCUUAUCCCUCCUAUUUUUGGUGUAGCUGCAAUGUUAAAUCCAACAAUGAAAUUAGAAGGUCCUCAUUUUUGGUAUUCUAAUAUUUAAAAAGCUUUAGAUCUUUCAGAAGAGGAAAUUGCUACACUUGCUGAUGCAAAAGCAUCAA
rnacentral:lncRNA from 1 species